GUUUCCGUAGGUGAACCUUGCGGAAAGGAUCAUUGUCGUGACCCUGACCAAAAGCAGACCGUGCACGCGUCAUCUUUGCCUGCCUGGCGGCAUCGUUCGUCACUUGGCAAAAGUCCUCGACAACCUCUUCUCCUCGGAGUGGGGGCUCGGGGUAAAAGAACCCACGGCGCCGAAGGCGUCAAGGAAGACUGUGCCUAACCCGGGGACGCGGCUGGCUUGCUAGCUGCCCCUCGUGUUGCAAUGCUAUUUAAUCCACACGACUCUCGGCAACGGAUAUCUCGGCUCUCGCAUCGAUGAAGAACGUAGCGAAAUGCGAUACCUGGUGUGAAUUGCAGAAUCCCGCGAACCAUCGAGUCUUUGAACGCAAGUUGCGCCCGAGGCCACCUGGCCGAGGGCACGCCUGCCUGGGCGUCACGCCAAACACGCUCCCUCCCCCUAACCGGAUAGCGGAUGCGGCAUUUGGCCCCUCGUCAUGCAAGUGGCGGUGGGCCGAAGAUGCGGCUGCCGGCGUAUCGUGUCGGACACAGCGCGUGGUGGGCGAUCUCGCUUUACUAACCGCAGUGCAUCCGACUCGUAGCCGACGUCAUGGCCUUGAAGGACCCUAUAAACGGUGCGCGUGACGCUCCGACCGCGACCCCAGGUCAGGCGGGACUACCCGCUGAGUUUAA
rnacentral:rRNA from 1 species